rnacentral:piRNA from 1 species
AGGGCUGAUGCACCCAACCCCUGCUCUGUC